GGACGACCAGCCACACUGGAACUGAGACACGGUCCAGACACCUACGGGUGGCAGCAGUCGAGAAUUUUUCUCAAUGGGCGCAAGCCUGAAGGAGCGACGCCGCGUGGGGGAUGAAGGGCUUCGGCUCGUAAACCCCUGUCAUCUGCGAACAAUGCUGUUGGUCGAACAAGCCAGCAGUUGAUAGUAGCAAAAGAGGAAGGGACGGCUAACUCUGUGCCAGCAGCCGCGGUAAUACAGAGGUCCCAAGCGUUGUUCGGAUUCACUGGGCGUAAAGGGUGCGUAGGCGGUAAGGUAAGUUUGGUGUGAAAUCUCCAGGCCUAACCUGGAAACUGCACUGAAUACUAUCUUGCUAGAGGAUCGGAGGGGAGACUGGAAUUCUCGGUGUAGCAGUGAAAUGCGUAGAUAUCGAGAGGAACACCAGUGGCGAAGGCGAGUCUCUGGACGAUUCCUGACGCUGAGGCACGAAAGCUAGGGGAGCAAACAGGAUUAGAUACCCUGGUAGUCCUAGCCCUAAACGGUGCACAUUUGCUGUGAGCGGAAUCGACCCCGUUCGUGGCGUAGCUAACGCAUUAAAUGUGCCGCCUGGGAAGUACGGCCGCAAGGUUAAAACUCAAAGAAAUUGACGGGGGCCUGCACAAGCGGUGGAGUAUGUGGCUUAAUUCGAUACAACGCGAAGAACCUUACCUGGCCCUGACAUGUAGGUAGUAGAAGGAUGAAAGUCUGACGAGGUAGCGAUACCAGCUUACACAGGUGCUGCAUGGCUGUCGUCAGCUCGUGUCGUGAGAUGUUGGGUUAAGUCCCGCAACGAGCGCAACCCUCGUGUCCUGUUGCAAUCCGAACGAGAGUUCGGAGCACUCUGGACAGACUGCCUCAUUUAAAUGAGGAGGAAGGUGAGGAUGACGUCAAGUCAGGAUGGCCCUUACGGCCAGGGCUGCACACGUACUACAAUGCGCGGCACAAAGAGAAGCAAGACCGCUAGGUGGAGCAAAUCUCAAAAAACCGCGCCCAGUUCAGAUUGUCGGCUGCAACUCGCCGACAUGAAGCUGGAAUCGCUAGUAAUGGCGCAUCAGCUGCGGCGCCGUGAAUACGUUCCCAGGCCUUGUACACACCGCCCGUCACAUCAUGAAAGCCGGUUGUAACCGAAGUCAGCGCGCCAACCGCAAGGAGGCAACUGCCGAAGGUAUGGCUGGUGAUUGGGAUGAAGUCGGAACAAGGUA
rnacentral:rRNA from 1 species